UUGACGGUACCCUGCGAAUAAGAGGUUGCUAACUCUGUGCCAGCAGCAGCGGUAAUACAGAGACCUCGAGCGUUAUCCGGAUUUAUUGGGCGUAAAGCGUCCGCAGGUGGUUUGCUAAGUCAUCAGUCAAAUCCUGAAGCUUAACUUCAGGGCUGCUGGUGAUACUGGCGAACUCGAGGGUGGGAGAGGCGAGCGGAAUUGCCGGUGUAGUAGUAAAAUGCGUUGAUAUCGGCAAGAACACCAGAGGCGAAGGCGGCUCGCUGGAACACACCUGACACUAAGGGACUAAAGCGUGGGGAGUGAUACGGAUUAGAUACCCGUGUAAUCCACGCCCUAAACGAUGGAUACUAGGUAUUGGCAGUAUCGACCCUGCCAGUGCCGUUCAAAAAAGCUAACGCGUUAAGUAUCCCGCCUGGGAAGUACGAUCGCAAGAUUAAAACUCAAAGGAAUAGACGGGGACCCGCACAAGCGGUGGAGCAUGUGGUUCAAUUCGACGAUAACCGAGGAACCUUACCAGGGCUUGACAUGUAGCUGCAAAUCUUAGGAAACUAGGAUGCCUUCGAGGGUGCUACACAGGUGCUGCAUGGUUGCCGUCAGCUCGUGCCGUGAGGUGUAUCAUUAAGUUGAGCAACGAGCGCAACCCCCAUGUUGUGUUAAAUUGUACACAACAGACCGCCCUGCCCCUAAUGCAUUUUUAAUUAAGUGCGUUAAGGGCAGGGAGGAAGGAGGGGAUGACGUCAAAUCAGCAUGGCUCUUACGUCCUGGGCCACACACGUGCUACAAUGGGUAGUAACAAUGGGUUGCCAAAUCGCAAGAUGGAGCUAAUCCCACCAAACCUACCCCUAGUUCAGAUUGAGGGCUGCAACUCGCCCUCAUGAAGCAGGAAUCGCUAGUAAACGCCGAUCAGCCACGCGGCGUUGAAUACGUUCUCGGGUCUUGUACUCACCGCCCGUCAAGCCAAGGGAGUCGGAGGCGCCCGAAUUCCGAGCAAUCGGGAGAAGGCGAAGCCGAUGACAGGGGCUAAGUCGUAGAUGCAUACUGCAUCAUCUGUUGCGACCUCUUCAAGUAAUUGAAGAUGAGAAAUCUAACUAUAUCGGUGAACCCUUACCUCAAUUUUUUUGAGAAGGGAAUACCGAGGGAAGCUUUUGGGCGAUUUAUGGCAAACCGGAGUAUCUAUAAUGCCAUGCGUAAAUCCGUGCAUCUUACGGAUUGCCAGCGCGCAAUUUUAGUCGGGACACUUCUUGGCGACGGAUCUCUUAUUGAGACAUCUUCCAAGAAUAAUCUUCGGCUUCAAAUUACGCAUUGCGACGCGCAAAAGGCAUUUGUAUUCUGGAAAUAUGAAGCAUUUAAAUCGCUCGUUCUGACUCCGCCAAAGUAUCAAAAACAAAAUGACGCUUGGCGAUUUCGGACAAUUAGUCAUCCGGAAUUGACUGAAAUUGGUAAAUCAUUUUAUCAAAAUCGUCAAAAAAUCGUGCCAAAGGGUAUUGCUUCGCUCCUUUCGCCGAUCGGUCUGGCUGUUUGGUUUAUGGAUGACGGGGCGUUUCAUCGUUCCGGCGGAUAUCUUAUAAACACUCAAUGUUUUACGAUUGCCGAGUGCGACUUAUUGAGAGAGUCGCUUCGCAAAAUAUUUAACAUUGAAAAUAUUACCAGACAUCGAGACCAUAACGGAUGGCGGCUGUACAUUCAGGUUUCUUCAGCAAAAAAGUUUCGUGAAAUUAUUGAACCUUUUAUGCUGAAAGAAAUGAUGUACAAAAUUAAAAGCCCUGUAGAGACUACACGUAAGCUCCUGACAUUUGCCGUCAGGAUGAAGAUAUAGUCCGUGCCACAAAGGAAUUUGUGGAAAUACAUGAACAAGGCAUGUGUAGCGGAAGCUGCGCAUGGAUCACCUCCUU
rnacentral:rRNA from 1 species